rnacentral:ncRNA from 1 species
GAGAGCCGUGUGAUGGGUGACUAUCUAGCACGGUUCAGAGAGAACAUGUAUGUAGUCUGCGCUGGUGAAUGGAAGCCCCCGCCACAAAAAAGAGGCGGCUCUUCCCAUGGCUCUAUCACCAUUGACUCUAU